AGCUCGGUUGGUAGAGUGCUUGCCUAACAUGCAAGAAACCCUGGGUUCAACUCCCAG
rnacentral:tRNA from 1 species